UACGUAGGUGGCAAGCGUUGUCCGGAAUUAUUGGGCGUAAAGCGCGCGCAGGCGGUCCUUUAAGUCUGAUGUGAAAGCCCACGGCUCAACCGUGGAGGGUCAUUGGAAACUGGGGGACUUGAGUACAGAAGAGAAGAGUGGAAUUCCACGUGUAGCGGUGAAAUGCGUAGAGAUGUGGAGGAACACCAGUGGCGAAGGCGACUCUUUGGGACGGUACUGACGCUGAGACGCGAAAGCGUGGGGAGCGAACAGG
rnacentral:rRNA from 1 species